rnacentral:rRNA from 1 species
GACGAACGCUGGCGGCGUGCCUAAUACAUGCAAGUAGAACGCUGAAGGAGGAGCUUGCUCUUCUGGAUGAGUUGCGAACGGGUGAGUAACGCGUAGGUAACCUGCCUGGUAGCGGGGGAUAACUAUUGGAAACGAUAGCUAAUACCGCAUAACAGUAGAUGUUGCAUGACAUUUACUUAAAAGGUGCAAUUGCAUCACUACCAGAUGGACCUGCGUUGUAUUAGCUAGUUGGUGGGGUAACGGCUCACCAAGGCGACGAUACAUAGCCGACCUGAGAGGGUGAUCGGCCACACUGGGACUGGGACACGGCCCAGACUCCUACGGGAGGCAGCAGUAGGGAAUCUUCGGCAAUGGACGGAAGUCUGACCGAGCAACGCCGCGUGAGUGAAGAAGGUUUUCGGCUCGUAAAGCUCUGUUGUAAGAGAAGAACGAGUGUGAGAGUGGAAAGUUCACACUGUGACGGUAUCUUACCAGAAAGGGACGGCUAACCACGUG